rnacentral:rRNA from 1 species
GAUGAACGCUGGCGGCGUGCCUAAUACAUGCAAGUCGAGCGAACAGACGAGGAGCUUGCUCCUCUGACGUUAGCGGCGGACGGGUGAGUAACACGUGGAUAACCUACCUAUAAGACUGGGAUAACUUCGGGAAACCGGAGCUAAUACCGGAUAACAUGUUGAACCGCAUGGUUCAACAGUGAAAGACGGUCUUUCUGUCACUUAUAGAUGGAUCCGCGCCGCAUUAGCUAGUUGGUAAGGUAACUGCUUACCAAGGCUACGAUGCGUAGCCGACCUGAGAGGGUGAUCGGCCACACUGGAACUGAGGAACGGUCCAGACUCCUGCGGGAGGAAGCAGUAGGGAAUCUUCCGCAAUGGGCGAAAGCCUGACGGAGCAACGCCGCGUGAGUGAAGAAGGUCUUCGGAUCGUAAAACUCUGUUAGUAGGGAAGAACAAAUGUGUAAGUAACUAUGCACGUCCUGACGGUACCUAAUCAGAGAGCCACGGCUAACUACGUG